CGGAGGGGCUAGCGUUGUUCGGAAUUACUGGGCGUAAAGCGCACGUAGGCGGAUCGGAAAGUUGGGGUGAAAUACCCGGGGCGUCAACCUCGGAACUGCCUUCAAAACUACUGGUCUGGAGUUCGAGAGAGGUGAGUGGAAUUCCGAGUGUAGAGGUGAAAUUCGUAGAUAUUCGGAGGAACACCAGUGGCGAAGGCGGCUCACUGGCUCGAUACUGACGCUGAGGUGCGAAAGCGUGGGGAGCAAACAGGAUU
rnacentral:rRNA from 1 species